UUUCUUUUGCAUUUUUUCUUUUACGCCUCUUUUGUUUAGAACUAUUUCCUCUUCUGUGAUACCAUAAAUGAUAAUGAAAUGCCAUUUAACUUCUAAAAAGUAAUUAUUUUACAAUAAGUUAAACGAAUUUAAACAGUAACUACGAAAAAGUUCUCAUCCUCUAUGACUUGUAAUUUUUAAGUGACAGGGUGGUGGUAUUGCUCUUCUCAAUUUCUUAUCUUCCAUAAUUAUUGUUGAAAUUUGUUCACCACUUUAAAUUUCGACAUCGCUUACAAAAAGUCCUGCAUACGCCCCUAGUUAUAUCAUAUUACUGAUAUAAACAUGUAGCUACUGCUAGAUAAUCGAUCUUUCCUAUCCGAGAGUUAAUCUCAUAAUUCAGAGGAGUCCUAUAAUAAGAAUGAAGUAUAUAAAGCCAUUCAAUAUUUAAGACAUUUAGAAUGAGGAUGCAUGAAAAUAUAUCUAUAACAGUUCAAGUGCAAGAAAAUGUCAUUCAACGUAAAGCAAUCUACAUGAGAUUAUCAUCUCUUUUUUAUAAAUAGACUACAUUACCAUAAUCUAAACAAAAACUCCAAUUUUUUACAAUAAAAUGAAUAAAAGUGAAUCAAGAGAAUAAAUAUCUUAACAUUAAAAGAUUACCUAUGGUUUGUUGAGAUUAUUUAUGACUAAAUUCCAUAUGCUUUCUGAAGCAAACAUUCUUUGUUGGAAAAUUACAAGUUGUUCCAACAUGAGUUUCUAAUAAAGAAUUUUAACUCACCCGUUCAGCUGUCUCUAUUCCCAUCAAGUUACAACAGUGUCUUGGUUGUCUCGCUAGAAAUAAGUUAAACAUACAUUAGAAACGUUUUUAACUCAAAUAAUCCUGUCUCAAAUGUAAUUAGCAAGAUGAACCGGUGACUAUGCCACAAAAUAAAGAAAAAAGGACAGCAAAGAAUAUAAGAAAAUACAAUGUAACAAUUUUACUGUGAGAAGCAUGUAAAUCGGGUUAAAAGCAAUAAUAUUAGCACCAAUAUUCAUUUGUUUACUUUUCUAUAGUUCCACAUAUGCAAAACAAAAAGACAAGUGUUAUUCUUGAGUAAAAAAUUCAAGUUCAACGGAAAGAACUACCAACCAAAUGGAGCACAAUGAAUUGACCUAUUUUUCUGAAAUUUUAUUAUUUUCUCUUUCUCCAACUUUUUCUUAGGUCCAAUUUUUAAAAAUGCCUUAACACUGUCGACGGUAUCAAAUUCCAGCAAUUAGAAUACACGAAACAGAAGCUUUGAGCAAGUGCAAGAUCAAAUUAAAAAAUUACUUAGAUUCAAAUUAACAAAAAUAAAUAAAUAAAUAAAAUGGACAUGACCAUAAAUAUAGAAGGUUCACAUACCAGCUAAGCUCUCGGAAUACUAAUUUAGACAUAACGCAACCAGUAAGAUACAUGCUUCAAGAUUUACGGUAAAAGCGUUCAAUAGUAGAAAGGAUAUUCUAAUUUCAACAUGCACAAGGUGACGGAGAGAUUAAUUUAUAUUUCUGUAGAUGCUCACCAGACAAGAGGGGUUGCUCUGAUGGUGAGCAACCCCCACUUCCAAUAGAGAGGUUGUGAGUUCGAGUCUUCCCAAGAGCAAGGUGAAAAGUUUUUGGAGGGAAGGAUGUCGGAGGUCUAUUUGGAAACAGUCUCUCUAUCCCAGGGUUAGGGGUGUACAAAGAAAACCGAUAAACCACACCAAUCCGAUAAUCCGAGUCAAACCGAGAAAAAAACCCGACUAUGGUUUGGUUUGAC
rnacentral:lncRNA from 1 species